rnacentral:tRNA from 1 species
GGGGAUUUAGCUCAGUGGCAUAAGCACCUGCCUUGUAAGCAGGCGGUCGUUGAGUUCGAUCCCCG